UAAUAAUAACUAGUACAAUAAUUUUGAUUUUUUUUCCUUUCACAAAGCUCUUAUUAUUCAGUGUGAGAAUGAUCAGAGGACUGGAAAACAUGACCUGCAAUGAAAGAUUGAACUAAUUGGUUCUGUGCAAUCUGUGGAAGAGAAAAUGAAGCAGAGACAUGGUAAUAGUUUUCAAAUACAUAAAAGGCUACCGCAAAGAAGAAGGGAGCAUUCUGUUUUCUACAUGCAUAAUGGAUAAGAAAAAAAAACAGUGGGCCUUAUUUUCAGCAGAGAAGAUUCUGGCAAGACAUCAGGAUACUCUUUGGGUCAGCUAAGGACAGCAAAGCAGGGGAGUAGUCGUCUUGGGGAACCUCAAGCCUUAGAGUUCUUACAGGAUGGUUUAGACAAAGGUCCAUCAGGUUCUGGCCUGCUGUGGGUGACAUUUUAAGGUCCCUUCGAGCUGUAUUUUCCAUUUUCUCUCUUUCCAUUCUCAAUAUCACGUAUAUUUAUGGAGACUAUGUUUCUGUGAUAGUAAGCCUCCUGUCUCACAACACUGCACUUAAUGAGAAUCCUGUCAUUGCUGUCUGUAGUAAAAGGAUCAGGCCUUUCAGGAAGCAGUAUCAAUGGUGGUGUGUGGAUUAACAUUUCUGAUUUUUUUUUUCUCUUCUUUGUGCAUGUCAGACCUUACAGCAGCUUAAGCUCAUGGGAUGUAUCUCUGGGUGAAUAAAGUCUAAUACACGCAGUGAGUAUAGUUGCCUUACAAAACUGAUCCUGGCAUAAGAACACAUGUUAAUAAUGUGGUAAACACCUCUGGAGCGUGUGAGCUGUUCAAGCACUAUGAGGGGCAUUUUGUGUGAGAUCAGUACCGUAUUUCCUGUUGGCAUAAUCAUGAAUGAAAUAUGUAAUUAUACUGUAUAAAUAUCAUAAAUACUACCUGCAUUUGUAGAGUUCCUCUGCCACCAAAAGAUGCCUUAGGGAGCAGGGAGAAGCGGCCUGCUUGACCAUGGGGUGCAAUACAAAUCCAGCAAAGUUUGUUUCUUUUAUAGCUACAUUAAGGCCUGUUCCAAAGUCUUUCAAGGUCAGUAGAAGACUCCUACUGAUUUCAGUGGGAUCUGGAUUGAGCCUUGAGCACUUCGUCAUAGGCAUGGUAAUGUUAGCUUUAAUAUCUCUAAA
rnacentral:lncRNA from 1 species